UUAGCUUUUGUAUAAUACCACUCAGAAGAGUAAAACUCCGCUAUUAAAAAAUGGGUUUGACGCUGCUGGCGGGAAGUCCCAGGAGGAACCCCCGCCGAAACAACGCCGUAACGGUAGGAAAGUUCACAAUGGUUUGGAGCGCUGAGACUCGCUAAUGAUCCCUCCGCUGGUUCACCAACGGAGA
rnacentral:misc_RNA from 1 species